GAACGCGGAAGCGUUCGCACUUCGUCCUAAUAAUAUAUACUAUUAGGACGAAGUGCGAACGCUUCCGCGUUC
rfam:Leporid herpesvirus 4 isolate LHV4012612, complete genome.